rnacentral:rRNA from 1 species
UGGGGAAUAUUGCACAAUGGGCGAAAGCCUGAUGCAGCAACGCCGCGUGAGUGAUGAAGGUCUUCGGAUUGUAAAGCUCUGUCUUUUGGGACGAUAAUGACGGUACCAAAGGAGGAAGCCACGGCUAACUACGUGCCAGCAGCCGCGGUAAUACGUAGGUGGCGAGCGUUGUCCGGAUUUACUGGGCGUAAAGGGUGCGUAGGCGGAUGUUUAAGUGAGAUGUGAAAUACCCGGGCUUAACUUGGGUGCCGCAUUUCAAACUGGAUAUCUAGAGUGCAGGAGAGGAGAAUGGAAUUCCUAGUGUAGCGGUGAAUNAUGCGUAGAGGAUU